CAGCUUUUUACCAUAACUGAGGGGCUGUUUGAUUUGAAGGAGCACUCAGUGUGUGAAACAGUGAAUCCCUCCCAGGAAGUUGCUGAUAUUCAACCCAGCCACAGGUGCAGCUGGUCCCAGGUUUCCAGGUGUUUAAGGAAGGAGGGAUGGAGGUUGCUGGUGUGCCAUGAGCUUGUUUGCAGUGAUUUAUGUCGUUCCCUCCUCCCCAGGAAAACCUCUCCAGGGUAGCUAAUUGCUGCUGAAUUUUCC
rnacentral:lncRNA from 12 species